rnacentral:misc_RNA from 1 species
UUAUAUAAUUUAUAUGGUACUCAGACAACACUAAUAAACAGAGUAUGGGUUUCCUCUGACGGACACACACCAGCAGAAGCCAGUGGAGGGACUCAUGCCCUACGGUCCGCCAAAGCAACAGGGUCAUAUAAACAUGGGGUGGAGAGUCGCUCGCAGUGAGCUUAGUUCUCUCUAAUGAUCCUUCCGCAGGUUCACCUACGGAAA